rnacentral:lncRNA from 1 species
GCGCUUUUCCCCUUGAGGCCCCGCCCCCAGUACGUCUGAAUACGUCACGUCCUGGCUCGAGAACCUGGGAAAGGACUGGGUGGCUGAAAGAUGGCUGGAAAGCGCAUUUAGCCAACCGAGCCUGCGCAUGGAACCUGCGGCGCUGCACAGCUGCAUAGAGAUGUGGAGCACCUCCCUUUACCGUAGAAAGUAGGCGAGCCAGCUCGAGGCACUAUACUGAGGAAGCGCUGCGGCCUACUUCCGCCGUUUUUCUUAACAUCAAAGAAACUUCCGGUAGUGGGGUGUCUUGCAUUCCACCGUGUCGGUGCCCCAGAAUGAGACGCAAGCUGAUCUGCAGAUCCCGCAGGGUGCCUUCUGCUCUUUUCGGGGCAGGUUGGCCGGUAGGGGAGAAGGCCGCCAUUGGAACGCGGCCUUUAUGUCGGGUUCUCUCAAGAGUCUAAGAUCGCACCCUCACCAGCGGAGGGAAGGAGCCCACUCCCAGCCACACCGCUUUGUUUUCUUUCGCUUAGCCUUGUUGCGCCGUUCUCUAAGCCACUCAUGUCCUUAGAUCAGAUUGAGGGGCCCGCAGGAUUUAAGCCUUUAAUCCACAGCACAUUCCAAGCACCUACCCGGUGGUAGGCCCUAACAAGGAACACAGGCAAGUGACACGCUGCCUGGCCUGAAAGGUCCGCUCAGACCUUUACAUGAAGUUAAUAAAUGUUAAGCUUCAGGGCCCCUCGCUUGUAUGGCCUCCUGGGAGAAUAGAUAGUUGCUGAGUUGUGGAGAGGGGAAGCCAGCUUGAGAUUAGGAAGCAAAUCUAUGUAAGCAUUUCUAAUAAAUUACCCAGAGAGAUCUAAGGAGAAUCUGAAUCUCCAAGUCUCUAGUAAUGUGUUGUGAUUUGUCGUUUUAAUUAUUUGUUUUGUGUAUUUGUAGGGCCCCCCAAUGGUAUAUAAGUUUCACCUCUGCAAAACCUGGAUCAUCCCCAUCAUGAGGGUGGCUAAACAAGUAAAGGUGACCCCAGUACAGAAUGGCGAGUGCUAUAUGCACAGAAUGGUGGAGACUAGGACAACUUCCCAGAAAAGGAAAAGGCUGUGUUCAAGUUUGGAAAACUAGCAAUAGAGACCAUAGUUUAAGGACUAAAAAGAAAUUCUCCGUUGCUGGAGGGUACAUCAUGAGUUGAAGGUCUCAAGGCUAGAGUACCUGCCCUUCAGCCAUUUUAAAAGUGAAUGAGCAAAGAAGAAAUUACAUUGCCCUGGUAUGCCCUUCCCUUUAAAUACCUGCAUUUCCUGCCACCUCCGGAGGUACUUCACUCUAUAGGAGCAACCCCAAACCCGGGUUGAUUACCAUUAAAACUUGCAAAUGGCCACACUGUUCUCACAUUUUGCCUAACUAAAACCUGUUAAUUCUUCAAAGACAAGUACCAGGUGCUACCUGUAAAAGGGUACUGGGAAUAAAAAGAGUAGAGGCAGCCAGGAACAGCCUUUGGAAAAACGAGAGCAGGGACAUAUUUGUACAUUGUAUACCCAUGUUCAUAGUAGUUUAUUCACGGUAGCUAAAAGGAGGAAACAAUCCACAUGUCCAUUGACAGAUGAAUGAGUUUUCUAAAUUUAGUGUAUACGCG